rnacentral:rRNA from 1 species
CCUACGGGAGGCAGCAGUGGGGAAUCUUGCGCAAUGGGCGAAAGCCUGACGCAGCAACGCCGCGUGCGGGAAGAAGGCUUUCGGGCUGUAAACCGCUUUCAGCAGGAACGAAAAUGACGGUACCUGCAGAAGAAGGAGCGGCCAACUAUGUGCCAGCAGCCGCGGUGAUACAUAGGCUUCAAGCGUUGUCCGGAUUUAUUGGGCGUAAAGAGUUCGUAGGCGGUCGAGUAAGUCGGGUGUGAAAAUUCUGGGCUCAACCCAGAGACGCCACCCGAUACUGCUUAACUUGAGUUCGAUAGGGGAGUGGGGAAUUCCUAGUGUAGCGGUGAAAUGCGCAGAUAUUAGGAGGAACACCGGUGGCGAAGGCGCCACUCUGGAUCGAUACUGACGCUGAGGAACGAAAGCAUGGGUAGCAAACAGGAUUAGAUACCCUGGUAGUCCAUGCCGUAAACGGUGGGCACUAGGUGUGGGAUUCUAUUAACGAAUUCCGNGCCGUCGCUAACGCAUUAAGUGCCCCGCUGGGGAGUACGGUCGCAAGCUAAAACUCAAAUGAAUUGAGGCUUGAAGNGNGCGAGNGCACGAGGGAGAG